GACGAACGCUGGCGGCGUGCUUAACACAUGCAAGUCGAGCGGUAAGGCCCCUUCGGGGGUACACGAGCGGCGAACGGGUGAGUAACACGUGAGCAAUCUGCCCAUCACAUCGGGAUAACUCCGGGAAACCGAAGCUAAUACCGAAUACGACCACCUCCGGCAUCGGAUGGUGGUGGAAAGUUCCGGCGGUGAUGGAUGAGCUCGCGGCCUAUCAGCUUGUUGGUGGGGUAACGGCCCACCAAGGCUUCGACGGGUAGCCGGCCUGAGAGGGUGACCGGCCACACUGGGACUGAGACACGGCCCAGACUCCUACGGGAGGCAGCAGUGGGGAAUAUUGGACAAUGGGCGAAAGCCUGAUCCAGCAACGCCGCGUGAGGGAUGACGGCCUUCGGGUUGUAAACCUCUUUCAGCAGGGACGAAGCGCAAGUGACGGUACCUGCAGAAGAAGCACCGGCCAACUACGU
rnacentral:rRNA from 1 species